UUGACUGAUUACCUGUGAGUGCAUAACCUAGCAUACCGAGCAAACCAAGGUGAGUUCACACUCUUACUAAGGCAUGGGAUUCCCGGAUUGAGGGAAUGGGAUUGAAGGGUCGUUAGAUACUUAUGGAGCUUGCACAGGGAGGAGCGGGUCGUUGUGGAGCAUGGAUUAUGUUUUGAAACUUAUUGAACUUAUGUUACACAUUUGGGUUUUCGUACUUAU
rnacentral:lncRNA from 1 species